rnacentral:misc_RNA from 1 species
GAUGAAGAACGUAGUGAAAUGCGAUAACUAAUGUGAAUUGCAGAAUUCCGUGAAUCAUCGAGUCUUUGAACGCACAUUGCGCCCCCUGGUAUUCCGGGGGGCAUGCCUGUCCGAGCGUCAUUGCUGCCCAUCAAGCACGGCUUGUGUGUUGGGUCCUCGUCCCCCCCGGGGGACGUGCCCGAAAGGCAGCGGCGGCACCGCGUCCGGUCCUCGAGCGUAUGGGGCUUUGUCACCCGCUCUGCAGGCCCGGCCGGCGCUGGCCGACGCGAAAGCAACCAUUUUUUCUCCAGGUUGACCUCGGAUCAGGUAGGGAUACCCGCUGAACUUAAGCAUAUCAAUAAGCGGAGG